rnacentral:tRNA from 1 species
GCGGAUGUGGCGGAACUGGUAGACGCGCCGGCUUUAGGUGCCGGUGGCCUCGGCCGUGGGGGUUCGAGUCCCUCCAUCCGCA